AUCGUUGUAAGCACUGCAUUGGGAAGCCCGAAAAUCCGGGGAUUGGGCGUCGCAUGGCACAUCGUUGCAGAGCUCGUAGCGUUUGAAGUAGCCAACACAGGCAUUACUCAUCCGCUUUCACGAAACUCGUAUCGGAUAUAGAUGCAAGAAUCGUUAAAAUACUGAAAGCCCAAAAAUGUAUCAAUUAAAGCAGGAGAGGAAAUGGAUUUGCCUAUCAAAUAAGUCAAUCAUUUUACUUCCGAUUGGACACUGAUGAAUCAAGACAAUUUCAAAGGCAAAAUGCAUUGGCAGCAUGUGAAAAUGUAUAUUUUGUUGCCUUCGAAAAAAGUUCUUUGAAGCAUCAAGAUGGGCUUGAUAGCCAGACUUUUCAUAAAGUAUUCUGUGAAAACGAGCCACUGUUCGGCGG